AGAAACGAAACAGUGAUGUGGAGUAAAACUUAGAAAAACGGUACUCAGUUCGGAUUGAAGGCUGAAAUUCGCCUUCAUGAAGCUGGAAUUGCUAGUAAUGGCAGGUCAGCAUACUGCCGUGAAUACGUUCCCGGGCCUUGUACACACCGCCCGUCACACCAUGAGAGUUGGAAAUACCCGAAGCCUGUGAGCUAACUUUUAGAGGCAGCAGUCGAAGGUAGAGCCAAUGAUUGGGGUGAAGUCGUAACAAGGUAAC
rnacentral:rRNA from 1 species